AGAGAGAGAGAGACAACAAAAUGCUAAUGACGAUGAUGAGGGUGUGGAUGCACUUGGGUGUUCACAGGUAAAGGGAAUGGAGAGGGAUGAGAGGGUUUCAAGAGAGGGAAAGGAUAGUAAGUGCAGAGACAAAGAGAGAAAGGAAAGGGGGUCAUAGGGUGAGGGAGAGAGAGAAACGUGAAGGGUACUGGGGUGUUGCCACGUGGCAGCUUAGGGAUGGAAAGAAUCCCAUUUUCAGAUCCUGAUUGGGUAAAGGAAUAGGGUCCAAAUUUAUAAUUCUAUAACUUUUUGGGGAUAAUUACUUUUAUAAGUGGGGGUGGGUGUAACAAUCCACCCCCUUAUAUAAAUUUUGUCCCAGAAAUUUACAACCUUAAGCAAAUAAAAACGGAUACUGACUCUUCAUCAAAUCCUCCAUUUCCCACAUCGCUUCCUCAACAGCGUGGUUCCUCCAAGGCACCUUCACCAACGAAAUAACCUUGUUCGUCAACACUUUAUCUUGUCGAUCAAGUAUAGCCACGGGUUAUUCGACAUAGCUAGCAUCAUGAUUCACUUCCAGCGGCUCUAAGCUGAAUGAAUAAUGGGAGGGAUCUGGUACAUAUUUCCGAAGCAUAGAAACAUGGAAAACGUUGUGAAUCAGAGACAACUCCUGUGGUAGCUCCAACCUAUAGGCAACUGCACCAAUUCUCUCAGUAAUCUGGUAGGGACCAACAUAUCAAGGACUCAACUUUCCUCGUUUACCAAAACGAACAACACCCUUCCAGAGAGAUAACUUCAAGAACACAAAGUCACCAACCUUAUACUCACGGUCCCUGGAAUGUUUAUUCGCGAUGCUUUUCUGUCGGUCUUGCGCUGCCUAUAGGUUUCUCUUAAUCAGCUGGAUGUUAGCAUUGGUAGUGUCCACAAUCUCUGGUCCCAGUAACACUCAUUCGUUGACCUUUGUCCAACACAAUGGCAUCCAACACACUUUCCCAUACAGAGCCUGCAUGAGUGUGCAGGUACCGAUACUCGAAUACCGCUGGUAUAUUGUAUACGAACUCAACCAACGGCAAAUAGCUAUCCCAACUACCCUUCCACUGGAGAACAGACUGUUACAACCACCCCUAUAUUUUCAAUUUAUUUCUAUUUUCCCCUAGAACAUAUUUUAAAUCUAUCCAAUU
rnacentral:lncRNA from 1 species